rnacentral:rRNA from 1 species
UCUAGGCUCUCGCAUCGAUGAAGAACGCAGCGAAAUGCGAUACUUGGUGUGAAUUGCAGAAUCCCGUGAACCAUCGAGUCUUUGAACGCAAGUUGCGCCCGAGGCCUCACGGCUGAGGGCACGCCUGCCUGGGCGUCACGCCACGAGUCGCUCCUCACGUCAGCACCAAAGUGUGCUCGGCU